UACAGAGGGUGCGAGCGUUAAUCGGAAUUACUGGGCGUAAAGCGCGCGUAGGCGGCUUUGCAAGUCGGGUGUGAAAUCCCCAGGCUUAACCUGGGAACUGCAUUCGAGACUGCAUUGCUAGAGUAUGGGAGAGGGGGAUGGAAUUCCGCGUGUAGCAGUGAAAUGCGUAGAUAUCGUAAGGAAGACCAGUGGCGAAGGCGGGUCUCUGGACAGUUCCUGACACUGAGACACGAAGGCCAGGGGAGCAAACGGG
rnacentral:rRNA from 1 species